UACGUAGGGUGCGAGCGUUAAUCGGAAUUACUGGGCGUAAAGCGUGCGUAGGCGGUUGGCAAAGUCAGCUGUGAAAGCCCCGGGCUUAACCUUGGAAUGGCGGUUGAAACUAGUCGACUCGAAUCUGGCAGAGGGGGGUGGAAUUCCACGUGUAGCAGUGAAAUGCGUAGAGAUGUGGAGGAACACCGAUGGCGAAGGCAGCCCCCUGGGCUGAGAUUGACGCUCAGGCACGAAAGCGUGGGGAGCAAACAGG
rnacentral:rRNA from 1 species